rnacentral:rRNA from 1 species
CCCUUAGAUGUCCGGGGCCGCACGCGCGCUACACUGAAGGAAUCAGCGUGGCUUUCUCCCUGACCCGAAAGGGUUGGGAAACCCGUUGAAUCUCCUUCGUGAUAGGGAUUGGGGCUUGAAAUUGUUCCCCAUGAACGAGGAAUUCCCAGUAAGCGCGAGUCAUAAGCUCGCGUUGAUUACGUCCCUGCCCUUUGUACACCGCCCGUCGCUACUACCGAUUGAACGGUUUAGUGAGGGCCUCGGAUUGGUCUCGGCCCGCUCUUUACCGGGCGGCGCCGUUGGUCGAGAAGACGCUCGAACUUGAUCGUUUAGAGGAAGUAAAAGUCGUAACA